CCUUGACUUCACAAGGCCAUUUUCCACGCUGCCUCCACUUCGAUCCAGCACGGGAUCCAGUGAUUUCUGUUCUCUGCUACACACUGAUGGAGUGCCAACUGAGGAGAUUUAAGAGAAAUUCAUUAAAAACAAGCCACGCUCCCUAGAGGAAAACUUCCCAGAGAAUGGAAUUGUUGCUCCAAUGGCUGAAGGUUGCUGUCAGGAGAUGAGUAAGGCAGGCAGGCAUGUAGGAGCCCAAGAGGCUGCAAACAGCUCCAAACAGCAGGUGGAGGGAUGAAGUUUUGACACAAAAGUGGUCUCCCAGAAGAAUCCUUUGCAUUUGGUGACAUCUGGAUGAAGCAGAGAUCUGGGUGUGCAAAGAGGUGGAAGGAGCACCCAUACGGCACAAUCUAUUUUAUUGUUGUAACAAGGCCAGAGGACAUCAGGUGCAUGAACCAAGUUCUGCUGGCAGAACUACAACUGUACUGACGUCCCCGGAUAUCACGCCACCUGUCCUCUUGGGACCAAAGAGACGAGCAGACCUCCCAGGGGACUCGGUGUUGGCCAAGCAGCCACAGGGGAAGGCAGGGUUUCCAUCCAUUCCCGGGCCCUGGUUCUCCACGCUCCCCUGCCCCGGCCAGCUUUGUACCGCUCUGUUCCACGGCUUCCCUGUGAGCUCAGGUUUUCUUUUCUCUUUCCCAUUAAGAGUUUGGUGUUAGCAGGCCCCUUCAAAGUGUUAUUGUAACUUUAUGGAUUGGAAAAGACCACGAGGCGAGUCCUCAGAAAGGAAAAGGAAAAUAAAGUAGGAAGUGCUGUGAAGUAUAAGUUAACAGAGGAGGACACGGUUUAGCAUGAGAGUCGCCAGGAAGCAAGAGAAGCUGCAGCUGGCCUUCCUGCCUAGGCCACCCCAGAGGGCACACGUGACAGUACUGGGAAAGCCAGCCAGGGGUCUCAGGCCAGGGGUCAGGGGGUUUCCCUAGGUGUCCUGACAGUCUACUCCGUCUCUGGAGUAGAACUUGAACGGUCUCAUUGAGGACCUGCUACAGGAUAGAGCCGCCCCCCCCCAGUGCCAAAAAGAGAGCACAAAUACAAAUAUUUGGGAAAAAAUAUUUAAAAUCCCAGUUAGCAAAAUCCUCCAACUUUCCCAAAUGACUGAAGAGAGACCAUUUGGUUUAGGUAAAGAUUAUCCCCGCAAGAUGCACGUGUCGAAGGCCACACAGCAAUAUCCAGAGACGGGCAGGGGAAUUUGGGAAUGAUCGGAUCACGAGGGUGCCAAUCUUACCAGUGAGUUAAUUCAUUUGAUGGAUUAACAGUUUUGAUCGACUCCUAGGUGGAGGCUAUAGACAGGUGGCACAUGGUGGAAGACAGUAGGCCAACGGGGGCAUGCCCUGGGGGACGAUACCUCGUCUGUGCCUCAUUCUCUCCACCCCCUACUCAGUAACCAUGAGCUGAGCAGCUUUCCACCCCCAGACCCUGUGCCCUCAGGUCCUGCCUCACCUCAGGCCCAGAGCAGUGGAGCCAGCCAACCAUGAACUGCCUCGGAAACCAAGAGGCAAGACAAACCUUUCUUCAAGUUAUCUGUCAGGUCUAUUAGUCACAGCCACGAGAAGCUAACAGACUGCUGACCUUGUGACAGUUAGAAAAUAUGACAGACUACCAGACUUACAAACCAAGAGCAGGCUCAGGAACAUAAGGUCACACCCCUUGUCCGAUUCUUGUCAGGAGACGUUUGAUAAAAAGGAAUUCCAAUUUCAGAAUAUUCUUUCCCCUUGGAAAGACCACUAGACAGAUACUCUUUGAUCUUCACACCCAUGAAGACCUUUAUUUUUCCACAGGAUUCCAUUUGAAUUAAGGGUUAAAAGAAUAUAUUCUUAUCUCUAAAACAUAACAUUUCUCGGUUCUCUCCAUGUUUCCAACUUCCUCAUGUCACACAGUUAACAAUAAAAUUCAAAAUGUGUGCUUAUCUA